CGGGGGGCUUCUGCCCCCGGGUCCGCGCGCACCGGAGACACCAUUGAACUCUGUCUGAAGAUUGCAGUCUGAGCAUAAACUAAAUAAGUUAAAACUUUCAACAACGGAUCUCUUGGUUCCGGCAUCGAUGAAGAACGCAGCGAAAUGCGAUAACUAAUGUGAAUUGCAGAAUUCAGUGAAUCAUCGAGUCUUUGAACGCACAUUGCGCCCCCUGGUAUUCCGGGGGGCAUGCCUGUCCGAGCGUCAUUGCUGCCCUCAAGCACGGCUUGUGUGUUGGGCUCCGUCCCCCCGGGGACGGGUCCGAAAGGCAGCGGCGGCACCGAGUCCGGUCCUCGAGCGUAUGGGGCUUUGUCACCCGCUCUGUAGGCCCGGCCGGCGCCAGCCGACAACCAAUCAUCCUUUUCAGGUGACCUCGAUCAG
rnacentral:rRNA from 1 species